UUACUCUCUAUUUUUUUAAUAGACCAAGAUAUCAUCGAUAAACAUAACGGUGAACUGAUACAUAAAUUAUCUGAAAACCCUUUUCAUCAAGUUUUCAAACAUGACAAAACCCUAAUUUUUGAUCCUUUUCUCUUAAUCUCAAAAAAAUUUGUAAAUUACCAUAUUUAGUUUCUUUUGUGGCAUAAAAUCUUAUUCCAUCAUAUUCUUGUCCCCAUCAAUAACAUUAGUGUCCCAUUAAUGAUAGAAUUAGAAGAUAAUAAGAACCAAAUUAAGCUAAUAAUAUACAAUUAACCCUUUUUUUUACAAGCCCAAAAUUUUUCCAUCAAAGCCCAAAGUUAUAUAUUAAAGAGGGAAAAGAAAACUACCAAAAAAGGCAAAG
rnacentral:lncRNA from 1 species